GCUUGGGGCGGCUUUACACAUGCAGUCGAGCGGUAGCACAGGGAGAGCUUGCUCCCUGGGUGACGAGCGGCGGACGGGUGAGUAAUGUCUGGGAAACUGCCUGAUGGAGGGGGAUAACUACUGGAAACGGUAGCUAAUACCGCAUAACGUCGCAAGACCAAAGAGGGGGACCUUCGGGCCUCUUGCCAUCAGAUGUGCCCAGAUGGGAUUAGCUAGUAGGUGGGGUAAUGGCUCACCUAGGCGACGAUCCCUAGCUGGUCUGAGAGGAUGACCAGCCACACUGGAACUGAGACACGGUCCAGACUCCUACGGGAGGCAGCAGUGGGGAAUAUUGCACAAUGGGCGCAAGCCUGAUGCAGCCAUGCCGCGUGUGUGAAGAAGGCCUUCGGGUUGUAAAGCACUUUCAGCGAGGAGGAAGGUGGUGAGCUUAAUACGCUCAUCAAUUGACGUUACUCGCAGAAGAAGCACCGGCUAACUCCGUGCCAGCAGCCGCGGUAAUACGGAGGGUGCAAGCGUUAAUCGGAAUUACUGGGCGUAAAGCGCACGCAGGCGGUUUGUUAAGUCAGAUGUGAAAUCCCCGGGCUCAACCUGGGAACUGCAUUUGAAACUGGCAAGCUAGAGUCUCGUAGAGGGGGGUAGAAUUCCAGGUGUAGCGGUGAAAUGCGUAGAGAUCUGGAGGAAUACCGGUGGCGAAGGCGGCCCCCUGGACGAAGACUGACGCUCAGGUGCGAAAGCGUGGGGAGCACACAGGAUUAGAUACCCUGGUAGUCCACGCUGUAAACGAUGUCGAUUUGGAGGUUGUGCCCUUGAGGCGUGGCUUCCGGAGCUAACGCGUUAUAUCGACCGCCUGGGGAGUACGGCCGCAAGGUUAAAACUCAUAUGAAUUGACGGGGGGCCCGCACAAGCGGUGGGAGCAUGUGGGUUUAAUUCGAUGCAACGCGGAAGAACCUUACCUACUUCUUGACAUCCAGAAGAACUUAACCAGAAGAUGCUUUGGGGGCUUUCGGGAAACUCCUGAAAAAAGUGCUGCC
rnacentral:rRNA from 1 species